AUGCUUUCUGCCACCUGCUUAGUUCUUGUGAUCUUAAUACUCAGAGGGACCAAUGGAGACUCAGUGACCCAGACAGAAGGCCCAGUCAUCCUCUCAGAGGGGGCACCUGUGAUCCUGAACUGCACUUACCAGAUCAGUUAUUCAACUCCUUUCCUUUUCUGGUAUGUCCAGUAUCUCAAUAAAGCUCCUCAACUCCUGCUGAAGAGCUCAACAGAGAACCAGAGGUCAGCGCAUCAAGGUUUUCAGGCCAACCUUGUUAAGAGUGACAGCUCCUUCCAUCUGCAGAAACCCUCAGUGCAAAUGUCAGACUCGGCCGUGUACUACUGUGCUCUGAGAGACACAGUGAGGGGGACUGCAGGGGGAGCUGAGCACAAACCCACAGGGCAUAGGAGGGGCUGA